UACAGAGGGUGCGAGCGUUAAUCGGAAUUACUGGGCGUAAAGCGCACGUAGUCGGCUUUGCAAGUCGGGUGUGAAAUCCCCGGGCUCAACCUGGGAACUGCAUCCGAGACUGCAUUGCUAGAGUAUGGGAGAGGGAAGCGGAAUUUCUGGUGUAGCAGUGAAAUGCGUAGAUAUCAGAAGGAACAUCAGUGGCGAGGGCGGCUUCCUGGACCAAUACUGACGAUCAGGUGCGAAAGCGUGGGGAGCAAACAGG
rnacentral:rRNA from 1 species